rnacentral:rRNA from 1 species
GACGAACGCUGGCGGCGUGCCUAACACAUGCAAGUCGAACGGAAAGGCCCUGCUUUUGUGGGGUGCUCGAGUGGCGAACGGGUGAGUAACACGUGUGUAACCUCCCCUUGACUUUGGGAUAUCUUCAGGAAACUCGGGUGAAUACCGGAUAGGAGCCCCCGCUGCAUGUUGGGUGUUGGAAAGUUUCGGCGGUUGGGGCUGGACUGGCGGGUUAUCAGCUUGUUUGUGGGGUAGUGGCUUACGACGGCUUUGACGGGUAGCCGGCCUGAGAGGGGGAACGGGCACAUUGGGACUGAGGGACGGCCCAGACGCGUACGGGAGGCAGCGGUGGGGAAUAUGGCAGAAUGAGGGGGAGCCAGAGGCGGCAGCGCCGCGUGCGGGAAGACGGCCUUCGGGUGAUAAACCGCUUUCGCAGGAAACGAAGCGUGAGUGACGGUAAUGAGUAAAGAAGCACCGGCUAACUACGUG